AGAGUUUGAUCAUGGCUCAGAGCGAACGCUGGCGGCGUGCUUAACACAUGCAAGUCGAGUGCGCGGUGCCGUAGCAAUACGGUACUGGCGCACGGCGCACGGGUGCGUAACACGUGGGUAAUCUGCCCUCUGAUGGGGAAUAACUCGCCGAAAGGCGAGCUAAUUCCGCAUAACAUUCCUUGGACUCCGGUCCGAGGAUUCAAAGGCGUAAGUCGUCGGAGGUGGAGCCCGCGCACGAUUAGCUAGUUGGUGAGGUAAUGGCUCACCAAGGCUAUGAUCGUUAGCUGGUCUGAGAGGAUGGCCAGCCACACUGGAACUGAGACACGGUCCAGACUCCUACGGGAGGCAGCAGUGGGGAAUCUUGCACAAUGGGCGAAAGCCUGAUGCAGCGACGCCGCGUGGGGGAUGAAGCUUCUCGGAGUGUAAACCCCUUUCGACCGGGACGAAUACCUCGCAAGAGGGGUGACGGUACCGGUAUAAGAAGCCCCGGCUAACUACGUGCCAGCAGCCGCGGUAAGACGUAGGGGGCCAGCGUUGCUCGGAAUUACUGGGUGUAAAGGGUUCGUAGGCGGUGUGGCAAGUCGGGAGUGAAAUCUCUGGGCUCAACUCAGGGGCUGCUUCCGAAACUGCCGUGCUAGAGUGUGGGAGAGGCGCGUGGAAUUGCAGGUGUAGCGGUGAAAUGCGUAGAUAUCUGCAGGAACACCCGUGGCGAAAGCGGCGCGCUGGACCACUACUGACGCUGAGGAACGAAAGCUAGGGGAGCAAACAGGAUUAGAUACCCUAGUAGUCC
rnacentral:rRNA from 1 species